UUUUAUUUUGUUUACAGUAUGUUGCCAUAUUAUUUUUUAUCCUUAUAUUAUAUUGUUUUUAAAAAAGUUAGAUUUUGUGAUCCCUUCCAUUCUCGACUCCCACUUCUCUUCUUUCCCCACUCUCACCUCUGCAUCCCCCUAAUUCAUUGUGAUCAGAUCCUAUGGCCCGUCACACCCCAGCUGUAGAACGACCCCCGGUCGCCAGACGGCCAGCCGGCCGAGCGGUCCACCGCAGGCUAAUCGAAGUAAUCACGGGUGCCCUCUUCAUCGCCGUUGCUGGAUCUUUGAUUACCCUUCCACCUCCAGAGCAUGCCAAGUACCUGGUGUUGGCGACGGUGGCUGCGACGGUUGCUGCGUUGCUCUUGUCCUUUUGUAUGACAACUCCGAAAGCCAAGCAGCAGGGGAAGUGCGUCAUCCCUGUCUCUGGCAGCUCUUUACCUUCAUUUGGGAAUGAUGGAGAGUGUCCUCUGUUCUGUGAAGUGGGUAGAAGGGGAAAAGUAGUUGUGUGCUUCUAAAUCUUAUUUUUCUGGUAAAUUAAUCUUAGAUUUGAUUCUAUGCUUUUGUAGGAACGAGUUACACAGUAUACGGGCCCUUCUGGCCUCCUCUUUGUAUCUUCUUUGGGCUGCAAACCUUUUUAUGGAUCAGUGCCAUGAAAACAGUUGGUUUA